UUUAUGGAGAGUUUGAUCCUGGCUCAGGAUGAACGCUGGCGGCGUGCCUAAUACAUGCAAGUCGAGCGAACGGACGAGAAGCUUGCUUCUCUGAUGUUAGCGGCGGACGGGUGAGUAACACGUGGAUAACCUACCUAUAAGACUGGGAUAACUUCGGGAAACCGGAG
rnacentral:rRNA from 1 species